GUUCGUGGUGAAUGGGCAUCGCCUAAAGCCCUAUCAUGAGCUUGCUGAAGUAGGAAAAGAGAAGGAGGAGUGCCACCUUCUCGACCCUGAAUACGAAUGAAGAGUGAAGGAAGGUCGAGCUCAAGACGAGAAACAAGAGCGCUUGCUGGGAGGCAACCCAGUGUGGUUACUUCGGUAUGGUCUAUACCGAAUUUUCUUUUUUUUUCUUUAAAGUUGUUUUGUUUUUGUUUGGAUGCACUAACAUGCAGGAAAGUCGGACCGAGAUAAUUUGGAAAGAGGCCCAGAGGUUGAUCCAAGCCCACUUUGCGUUGCAAAGUGUGUAGGUGGAGAGUUAGGGAUUGGAACGGUCUGGAAGAGGGCUUACAGAGGGAGAUGACGCGAGCGUGUCAGAGGCAGGCGGCGAUGUGACUGCAACUCUUCGGUUUCCGCAGAAAUUUGAAUUUCAAAUUUUGGCCAAGUUUUUAUUUCCUUAAAAAUUCUUUUUCUGCCAUAACCGUCACACUUACCAUAUUCAAAGCCUCAACCCACGAUCUUCCUCCCCACAAACCCUAACCUCCGAAAAAAAAACUGCUACACCACGAUCACCACUCGCCUCAAACCCUAAAUUCCCAUAAUUACCGAUCACCCUUCUUAAAGACCAACCUUGCCCCAAAAAA
rnacentral:lncRNA from 1 species